rnacentral:lncRNA from 1 species
AAAGUAUUUGGUUUUUAUGCUUUGUCUCUGGCAGCUAUAACAGUGGUGAGAACAUUUUGAAGAUAGCUUCUAAAAGGUACCACUGAUUUUUUCAAAAAUCAUCCUGGGGGAAAAUUUUUGGUGUUUUCAUUUGAGCAGGGAUUUUUGUCAGAAAAUACACUUAGAUGGUAAGUCAGCAGCAGUGCUAGUAUCUGAAAGCACAAUACCAGUCAGGCAGGCUGUCCGAUCAGAAGUCAUCUGGCUGAGGUUUAUCUCUGUCUCUCAGGCCUAAUCCCUGAUCCUUUUGACCAUUUAGGGUGACAUGUGGAAUCAUACAAAGGCUUAUUAGGAAGAUACAAGUUUGUUUAAACCAGGAUGCUUUUACUUACUUUAAGUGACUUCAAUCUAGAUUUCUUAUUUUCAUUUCUAAUAUUUUUAAUUCUGUGAUCAGCUUUAGUCAGCUGUCAGCAUAAAUUGGUCUCUUUAUUUUGAAGAUCAGAAGGUUGGCUGCUUCAUUUUUCAGGAUUAAAUAAGGCUGACAUCUUAAAGUUAAAAUUUUGAAUUAAAGUAGGUUCCAAAGACACUUGUUACACACCAUUUCAUUUUUUUCAAGAGGCUCUAUUUGUUGCCUUUGUAACCCUGAAAACUGUGGGUAUAUUGUUUCCCAUUGACUUAAUACAAAAGUUGUAUAUUUAUUUGGAUUAUAUUUACGUUAUAUUCUUUGUAAAUGUUUGGUGUAACUUGCACUUUUAAAACGACCCUGUUUGGGGUAUUAGCAAACUUGAGAAAUUCCCUCAUCAAUUGUCAUCUGACUUUUUAUGUCUUUCUCCUCUCUUCAAAUCAUGUGUCUUUUUUAUGGAAGCUUUUCAUUGAUUAAAAUAUUUUAUUUAACACCUAAAUGCUAGCCUUAUAAAUAGCUGUAAAAAGAGGAAAAUAAGGAAAUUAGACUAGCUCAAUUAAUUUAAAAAUGGGUUCAAACCCUAUCUAAUUCUCUUUCAUCAUGAAUAAAGAUAGUAGGAAAUACAACUCAAGUGAAUAAAUACUUAUUUCCAAUUUUAAAUGAGAUUCUGUCCUCACCCCAACAAUACUAUCUAUAGGAUCCUAAGAUAUCCUUGAAUUUGUGCAGAACAGUGAAAGACUUCAAGGUAAUUAAUUAUUGUUGUCAUGGAGAACACGUAAUAAUUUGAUUAACUUUUUCACUUUAAAUUGUCUUUGUUAACAUAAAAAAUAACUGUCUAAAUUUGACUGGUUUCAGAUGAGAGGAAAAGUGAGGUGUGCUUAUAGUAAGCCUAUAGGUGAAGAAUUGUGGGAUAAAUUUGUUCACUCAGUUGUACAAAGCACAACUAGAACUUUUUGUUGGAUGGCUUACAUACAUCUUGAAUACUUUUAAUGUUGAUGUGUUGACUUUUUUUAAGUUGACUGCACAGUCACUGUUUGUACUAGGAACUGGUUUCCUUGACUGUCUAGAAUCAACGGCUGAGAGAGGCACUAAUCCCUGAGGGGUUGAACAUAUCAUGGAGCUGAGUCAGUAUGGAAGAAUUUCAAAUCAAUCAAACAGGGUGCUGCAGUUCCAUCUGUCUCAUCUGCUGAUGAUAAGUUCUUAUUGAUGAGUGAAUGUAGCUUAAGCCUUUGUAUGUGUCCUCAGGGGGCAGACAAACUUUAAGAGGGACCAGAUAACAUUUGAAUGGAGGAAUUAUAUUUCAGGUGUUUUAGCUUGAAAUUUAUUUUUU